AUUGAUGAGUUCCAAAUAGAACGAAACUUGAGUCCUGAAU
rnacentral:hammerhead_ribozyme from 1 species